rnacentral:tRNA from 1 species
GCCCGGAUAGCUCAGGGGUAGAGCACUCCCUUGGUAAGGGAGAGGUCGGCAGUUCAAAUCUGCUUCCGGGCUCCA